GAAGCAGCAAGCUUGUUUGAGUAAUUGAAGGUACUUACCUAUGAUGUCAGUGGAUCCAUUUUUAUUGGAAGAAACAGCUGAAACUUGGAUUAUUGGAAUCUAAUUCAAGAUCCAAGUGGCAUUUUCUAUGGAAAGCAGAACGGAAGCAUCGUGACCGCUUGACUUCCCGCGCAUGUUGGAUACCCCAGACAUUUGAUAUACUUGUCAUGGUCAUGUGCGGUUACAUAGCAAG